rnacentral:misc_RNA from 1 species
GGUACACGCAACCUGUGUAUGUCGCAAGCAAAAGAGUACAGAGACAAUACCCCUUUCUCUCUCUUAUUCUUGAUUACCUGCAACACUCUUCCCAUUAUUCAAAGUCCCGUCUUUCACCUUCUUCUUUACCUGACAAAGACUAGCAUCUUUGCGCGUGUCCCAUCCUCUUCUCCAACCUUUUUGACAAAGGUCAAAAUAUUGUUGCCAACUCCCAUGGAGGUUAAACUAUGGAAUGAUAAGCGGGAAAGAGAAAUGUACGAAAACUUUGCAGAGCUCUUUGCUAUAAUAAAGGCAACCGAAAAGCUCGAGAAGGCUUAUGUUCGUGACAUCAUUUCAGCAGCUGAAUAUGAGACUGAGAGUCAGAAACUCAUUGCUCAGUUCAAAACCCUAUCAUCUACAUUAAGGGAUACUGUACCUAACAUUGAGCGAUUUCAUGACACAUACAAAAUGGAUUGCCCUGCUGCCCUAAACCGGCUUGUGACCUCUGGCGUGCCAGCUACUGUAGAACACCGAGCUGCUGCUGCAAUGUCAUCUGUGAGUUCAGCAGCUGUUGUGGCCGAAUGUGUGCAGAAUUUCAUCACUGCAAUGGACUCGUUAAAGUUGAACAUGAUUGCCGUAGACCAGGUCUAUCCCCUAUUAUCAGAUCUGUCAUCUUCCCUCAAUAAACUAUCGAUUCUGCCAGUGGAUUUUGAAGGGAAGACAAAGAUGAGAGAGUGGCUUUCAAGACUGUCGAAGAUGGGGGCUGCAGAUGAGUUGACAGAACAACAGGCUCGCCAGCUCCACUUCGAUCUGGAAUCGUCAUACAAUUCUUUCAUGGCAUCACUUCCCACUGAUGGAAGUUAGCUGACUAUAUCAAUAGGUGGUAUGUUUGUAAAUACCAUUGUUAUUUUGUUUAGUAAGUUCAUAAAUCAUAACACAUAUUAUUCCUUCUUUAAUUGGAGCGCUAGUGAUUAUCAGUGAAGAUGAAUUGUGUUUAUUUUGGGACUUCUUACAUGUU